UGAAUGUUAGACGCGUGGUUUGAAUAUU
rnacentral:sRNA from 1 species